UUGGCCUUGAGAAUACAAAAUAUAUGCAAGAAGCACAUCGAGAAGAAGAUGAUAUUGCACUUAUUUGAAGAUGAUUUACCAAGGCUUGGUAGAAAAUUUCAACUGAUUUUUUAGGAAGCUCGUAAAAGAGUUAAAAUAGAGGGAGGGUGAGAUGAAAUAAAGAGAAACGCAGAAGGCUAAGCAAUACGAAUUACCUGAGGAAGCUGCAGGUUUGUCAGUGGAUUUAACAGUUCUAUACAUCUGUAGAGCCAGAGAGAAAGAAAUUAAAGGCCAUUAAAUAGAUAGAGGGAUAGAAAGACAGAUAUACUUAAA
rnacentral:lncRNA from 1 species